rnacentral:rRNA from 1 species
UGGGGAAUUUUGCGCAAUGGGGGAAACCCUGACGCAGCAACGCCGCGUGAGUGAUGAAGGCCUUCGGGUCGUAAAGCUCUGUCAGAGGGGAAGAAAUGCAGGGGUGCUAAUAUCAUCUUUGCUUGACGGUACCCUCAAAGGAAGCACCGGCUAACUCCGUGCCAGCAGCCGCGGUAAUACGGAGGGUGCGAGCGUUGUUCGGAAUUAUUGGGCGUAAAGCGCGUGUAGGCGGUUUGGUAAGUCUGAUGUGAAAGCCCCGGGCUCAACAUGGGAGGUGCAUUGGAGACUGUCAGAGUGGAGUGCGUGGGUGGGGAGUGGAAUAUCUGGUGGAGGGGUGAAAAACGGAGAUAUUAGGAGGAGAACCGGUAGGGAGGGCGGCGACAAGGGAGGAUAUUGACGCGGAGACGCGAGAG